rnacentral:lncRNA from 1 species
AUGUUAAUUUGGAGCAUGCUGGGUGCACAGGAAACUGAAAGACAGGAGGGGAUUAAGGGAAAGGUGCUACCUGAUUUCAUUCGGGGCCUCCUCUUCCUCAUACCUCUUCUUUUCUUUCCUCUUUAUCGUCAGCCUCACCACCAGGAACAGGAGGCAGAGUCCCACCACGACGCCGCAAACUGCUCCAGCAAUCAUACCGAUAUUUUGGGCAUCUGUUGUCCAGACAAUAGGCAGAUUAACAGGGUAAAAGUCACCGCAUCUGUUGAUGUGGGCAGAGCAUCUAUCACAUCACCCUCCUGUCUGCAUCGGCCUGGACACACUGGUGCAUAUAAAACAACAUUUACUAUACAAGAUUGUGUUGCGAAAUCCCACCUGAUCUGGGAGAGGAGCAGCGCCGAGCAUGGAUUGGAAAGCAGAGGGAAGGGAAGAUCCCUUCAGAGAGGCACUCCGCUUCCUGCCCUGCAGCCAGAGGAGGGUUAACGAGGCACACCGCUCCUGUGCGAGCAGCCGUAUACUUGGCAGCGAGAGAUGUGCUACAGCGCGAGGGGAGGCAUGGAGCAGCUCCCGGCUCUGUCGGCUGCCUGGCGCUGAUCUCACACCUCCAGAGCCGGUGUCCGGUUCACAUCGAAGGGUCCCCUCCUCCCCAGCCCGCAUCCUGCCCCUCCGGGGGGAUCGUCUGCUCUCACGGAGACGUCGGGCUCCAGCACUGCGAGGCGCUGCUGCCGGCUGAUGAAUGGGCGCCCUCUGAGCAGAGCCAG